rnacentral:rRNA from 1 species
GAUGAACGCUGGCGGCGUGCUUAACACAUGCAAGUCGAACGGUGAAGGCGGAGCUUGCUCUGCUGGAUCAGUGGCGAACGGGUGAGUAACACGUGAGCAAUCUGCCCCUGACUCUGGGAUAAGCGCUGGAAACGGCGUCUAAUACUGGAUACGAGCUGCGAAGGCAUCUUCAGCAGCUGGAAAGAAUUUCGGUCAGGGAUGAGCUCGCGGCCUAUCAGCUUGUUGGUGAGGUAAUGGCUCACCAAGGCGUCGACGGGUAGCCGGCCUGAGAGGGUGACCGGCCACACUGGGACUGAGACACGGCCCGGACUCCUACGGGAGGCAGCAGUGGGGAAUAUUGCACAAUGGGCGAAAGCCUGAUGCAGCAACGCCGCGUGAGGGACGACGGCCUUCGGGUUGUAAACCUCUUUUAGCAGGGAAGAAGCGAAAGUGACGGUACCUGCAGAAAAAGCGCCGGCUAACUACGUG